GAGGGGGUGGCGCGCAGUGGCGCGCUGCCGGUGACGGCGCCGGAGGCGCAAGGAUUCGGUGUGGCGUACGAUAGCGCGGGGCGGGCGGUUUACUAUACGGGGUCGGUGGUCCCCACGUAUCAGACGAUGGCGAGCGUGGGACCCGUGAACCCGGUGGUGGAGGCCAGCAAGGUGGCGAAGCCACCACAGGUAUCGUGAUUCGACGAUUAGCCUUGGUUUAGUCUAUAUGGUAUGAAUCUAUAUUUUCUUUAUUUUUUUUGUGGGUAAUAUGUGUCUAGUUGUUGGUUUGAAGUAUAUAAGUGAACUCAUAAUAUUAGGGCUUAUAUGUGAACUGGUACCUGUGGUUUUGUUGUUG
rnacentral:misc_RNA from 1 species